CCUACGGGUGGCAGCAGUGGGGGAUAUUGCACAAUGGGCGAAAGCCUGAUGCAGCGACGCCGCGUGAGGGAAGACGGUCUUCGGAUUGUAAACCUCUGUCUUUGGGGAAGAAAAUGACGGUACCCAAAGAGGAAGCUCCGGCUAACUACGUGCCAGCAGCAGCGGAAAGACGUAGGGAGCAAGCGUUGUCCGGAAUUACUGGGUGUAAAGGGAGCGUAGGGGGGGUGGAAAUUAGAAUGGUAAACCCAUCGGCUCAACCGGUGGCUGCGUUCUAUACUGCCGUUCUUGAGUGAAGUCGAGGCAGGCGGAAUGCCUAGUGUAGCGGUGAAAUGCGUAGAUAUUAGAAGGAACACCAGUUGCGAAGGCAGCCUGCUAAGCUUUAACUGACGCUGAGGCUCGAAAGCGUGGGGAGCAAACAGGAUUAGAUACCCCGGUAGUC
rnacentral:rRNA from 1 species